AAGUCGUAACAAGGUUUCCGUAGGUGAACCUGCGGAAGGAUCAUUAACACGUAUCCAAACGUUAAAACCCCCCCCGUGAACCUUCAUCCUGCUCUUUAUCUUGGUUCUC
rnacentral:misc_RNA from 1 species